rnacentral:rRNA from 1 species
GACGAACGCUGGCGGCGUGCUUAACACAUGCAAGUCGAACGGAAAGGCCCUGCUUUUGUGGGGUGCUCGUGUGGCGAACGGGUGAGUAAAACGUGAGUAACCUGCCCUUGACUUUGGGAUAACUUCAGGAAACUGGGGCUAAUACCGGGUAGGAGCUCCUGCUGCAUGGUGGGGGUUGGAAAGAUUCGGCGGUUGGGGCUGGUUUCGCAGCUUAUCAGCUUGUUAGGGGGGUAGUGGCUUACGAAGGGUUUGACGGGUAGCCGGCCUUGGAGGGUGGACGGCGUCCAUAGUACUGAGGUACGGACCAGUCGCCUACCUUCGGCAGUAGUGGGAAACAUGACGCAAUGGCGGGAAGCCUGAGGCAGCAACGCCGGGAGCGGAAUGACCGGUUACGAGUGAUAAACCGAUUUCUCAGGUGAUGAGGAGUGAGUGACGGUAAUGAGUAAAAAAGCAACGGCUAACUACGUG